AUGCUCUUCAGCAGCACAUAUACUAAAAUUGGAAUGAUACAGAGAAGAUCAGCAUGGCCCCUGCGCAAGGAUGACAUGCAAAUUCGUGAAGUGUUCCAUGUUAAA
rnacentral:snRNA from 1 species